rnacentral:misc_RNA from 1 species
ACUAUAUAUAAUGAAUAGUUUUCAGUUUUCACGGGAGCUCUGCCCUCCUGAUUGGACCCAUACAAAUUCUCUCUUCCAACUCUAUCAGGCAACCAUAGGUUUAAAGAGUGAAUGAGGGAGAGGGAUACGUGUAAUUGAUAUUUCAAGUUUAAAGAAUUAUCUAACAACAAAACCAAAGCUGAAGAUUGAAGAAGCUGUUGCUGCUGCCUGUAAAGCAUUCAUGAAUUCUUACUGAUUUUCGGGGAUCUUUUUUUAGCUCUCGUUCAUCACUCUAGUAGCAUUCCUCUUGUGCCCAUUUAAGGUUAGAAAAUGACUAGGCCUCUGCAUCGAGUCAUAUCAGGGAUGCGGAUCUCAGGGAACAACCACGAUUU